GUACGGGAGGCAGCAGUGGGGAAUUUUGGACAAUGGGCGCAAGCCUGAUCCAGCAAUGCCGCGUGCAGGAAGAAGGCCUUCGGGUUGUAAACUGCUUUUGUACGGAGCGAAAAGGCUCUCUCUAAUACAGGGGGCUGAUGACGGUACCGUAAGAAUAAGCACCGGCUAACUACGUGCCAGCAGCCGCGGUAAUACGUAGGGUGCGAGCGUUAAUCGGAAUUACUGGGCGUAAAGCGUGCGCAGGCGGUUUUGUAAGACAGGCGUGAAAUCCCCGGGCUCAACCUGGGAAUGGCGCUUGUGACUGCAAAGCUGGAGUGCGGCAGAGGGGGAUGGAAUUCCGCGUGUAGCAGUGAAAUGCGUAGAUAUGCGGAGGAACACCGAUGGCGAAGGCAAUCCCCUGGGCCUGCACUGACGCUCAUGCACGAAAGCGUGGGGAGCAAACAGGCUUAGAUACCCUGGUAGA
rnacentral:rRNA from 1 species